CAUAUGGUUUCUGAUUUGACAUGAGGCAAGAGCAGGUAACAGCAGAGAGAAUACCUCUGCAAGGUACAUCUCAUGCCACCCCAUCCUUCAAGAAAC